GACAGCACGACUGAAAACAGGACCGCUAAACCUAAACCCGGCCCACACAUCUUCAACUCCGAGAUGAAUUGAAAUCGUUCUUUAACAAACAGGUGGAUGUCUCCAAAGAACUGCUCCACAGCCCUCGACUCCAGAUACCUUCGUCAGCGUUUCACUUCACACGUCAGAUGGCAGGAAUAGAUGAUUGUCACAAGGGUGGCGUAACAUCAUACAUGAGCAGAACUCUGUCGAAUACUUGAACUUGGUCAACAACUUGUUUAUGUAUUUUGUGCUUAUCAAUUACUCAUGUGACAACAUUGAACACCAUUACCAGUAAGCACUUACACAAGUUUGGUUCAGAAAUUAGACGAACUAGAAGUAAACAAAGCGCAGUGGUCAACAAAAAACAAAAAGAGCUUUACUGAUCCCAAUGCAGUAUUUUUCACAAACAUGUAUGCUAUAAGCCUUAGUUUGCAAUAAUGUAUCAAAGAUACAAAAUAUUUCAUAAUAAUCAAUGGUGACUACGGUUUAUCAAAUACAUUAUACAAAACACCUG